rnacentral:rRNA from 1 species
GAUGAACGCUGGCGGCGUGCCUAAUACAUGCAAGUCGAGCGAACAGACCAGGAGCUUGCUCCUUCGACGUUAGCGGCGGACGGGUGAGUAACACGUAGGUAACCUACCUAUAAGACUGGGAUAAUUUCGGGAAACCGGAGCUACUACCGGAUAAUAUUUCGAACUGCAUGGUUCGAUAGUGAAAGAUGGCUUUUCUAUCACUUAUAGAUGGACCUGCCCCGUAUUAGCUAGUUGGUAAGGUAACUGCUUACCAAGGCAACGAUACGUAGCCGACCUGAGAGGGUGGACCGCCAGCCUGGCAGUGAGACAGGGUCGAGACACCGACGGGGGGACACGGUAGAGAAUCCUACGCGAGGGAGGAGUGCCUGACGGAGCGACGCGGCGUGAGUGAUGAAGGUCCUCGGAUCGUAAAACGCUGUUAUUAGGAAAGAUCAAACAUGUAAGUAGCUGUGCACGUAUUGACGGUACCUAAUCAGAAAGCCACGGCUAACUACGUG